GAUGAAGAACGUAGCGAAAUGCGAUAAGUAGUGUGAAUUGCAGAAUUCAGUGAAUCAUCGAAUCUUUGAACGCACAUUGCGCCCGCCAGUAUUCUGGCGGGCUUGCCUGUUCGAGCGUCAUUACAACCCUCAGGCCCCCGGGCCUGGCGUUGGGGAUCGGCGGAGCCCCCCGUGGGCACACGCCGUCCCCCAAAUGCAGUGGCGGUCCCGCCGCAGCUUCCAUCGCGUAGUAGCUAACACCUCGCGACUGGAGAGCGGCGCGGCCACGCCGUAAAACACCCAACUCUUCUGAAGUUGACCUCGAAUCAGGUAGGAAUACCCGCUGAACUUAAGCAUAUCAAUAAGCGAGGA
rnacentral:misc_RNA from 1 species